rnacentral:rRNA from 1 species
GACGAACGCUGGCGGCGUGCUUAACACAUGCAAGUCGAACGGGAAGGCCCUGCUUUUGUGGGGUGCUCGAGUGGCGAACGGGUGAGUAACACGUGAGUAACCUGCCCUUGACUUUGGGAUAACUUCAGGAAACUGGGGCUAAUACCGGAUAGGAGCUCCUGCUGCAUGGUGGGGGUUGGAAAGUUUCGGCGGUUGGGGAUGGACUCGCGGCUUAUCAGCUUGUUGGUGGGGUAGUGGCUUACCAAGGCUUUGACGGGUAGCCGGCCUGAGAGGGUGACCGGCCACAUUGGGACUGAGAUACGGCCCAGACUCCUACGGGAGGCUGCAGUGGGGAAUAUUGCACAAUGGGCGGAAGCCUGAUGCAGCAACGCCGCGUGCGGGAUGACGGCCUUCGGGUUGUAAACCGCUUUCGCCUGUGACGAAGCGUGAGUGACGGUAAUGGGUAAAGAAGCACCGGCUAACUACGUG